UCAGGAUUUUCCAUACUAUCCUUAUAUAUAGAGCUGCUCUUCACAACAGAGGAUUUCCCUGUAGUUCAUAUGCAAUGUAACUAAUAACUACAAGGGGAAUAUUUUAUUUUACACUCAGCUAAAAGCGGCAAACUAAAUGAGUUUGUUCUGGUUAUGCAGAAGGCUUACAAGGAAAAAAAACCAGCAAAUUUUGUGUCUUAGAUGGCCUCAAGGGAUGAAGAUUUAUUACUGGCUCAAGCACUCUUGCUGCAAAGUGCAGGGCAUCUACCUGAGUGGAAGGACCAUUUUAAAACCCGGCUUUUAUGAGGUUGAUCUUCAAAGUGUGCUGCACCAUCUCAGUAAUUCCUUUUCUGCCUCCCCUGCCUGCGCUUCUGAUCAUGCCCCACAGAUCUGCUCAUUUCAGCACUGCUGUACAAGCCUUGCCAGGCUGCAGAGCUUUGCCAGGCUCGCUGCCUCUGUCCUUUUCAACUCCACACUGCUUUAAAAAGCAGCUCUUACCCUUUGUAACCAGCCUGAAAGACCUGAAAGGCUGUUGGUUUUAAAAGGGAGUUUAGACAAUAGUUUUUUUGGUCUUUCUUGAUAAACCACCCCCAGGCUUAGGUAGAAAAACAUCAGGGGUCCUCUGUUUUUUUGACCUUUCUCCCAAAAUAAUCAAUAUGUGCAGGUUGUCAAGCAUAUUGAACAAUGUGGCAGUAGAGAGGAUGUUUCAUAUACUCAGCCCUCUUUUCCCAGCUGGAAAACCAAAACCAGGAGAGGCCUAAGGAUCCCCUCAGAAGAUUUCUGCAGGGCCCUGUGUUGCAGCAGUCUUCCACAUCAAGCUCAAAAGGACAAAACUAUUUGUUUCGCCAUCGCACCAGCAGGCCAUUCCCCGAGAUGAGCUGCUUCCAUCAAAGGCAGCAGCGCCUGCAGAAACAGAAUUAACUUAACUUCACUAGCCUCUAAUCAUAGAAGGAUUAGGUAAUUCUAUCUGUUCAAAGUGGAUAAACAGUUUCAAUUGCCUACCAUGUUCCCAGUAUGUUGGGUGUUGUGCAACUGCGUCUAAGAAAUGGCCUUUGCCAAGGGCUUUACAAUACAGAGAAAUAAGAAAAAUAAAGAAUAAGAGGAACCGAUGUUAUUACAUUCCUGGUUGAGAUAAGGAGCUAAGAUACUUCCUGCCUCAGGAAGCAGCUUAUAUCUCAGGA